AUCACCUCAACAUGACCCUGUGGUCUCCUCCCAUUAGGCUGUGUAUAUCACCUCAACAUUACCCUGUGGUCUCCUCCCAUUAGGCUGUGUAUAUACCCUCAACAUUACCCUGUGGUCUCCUCCCAUUAGGUUGUAUAUAUACCCUCAACAUUACCCUGUGGUCUCCUCCCAUUAGGCUGUGUAUAUCACCUCAACAUGACCCUGUGAUCUCCUCCCAUUAGGCUGUGUAUAUCCCCUCAACAUUACCCUGUGGUCUCCUCCCAUUAGGCUGUGUAUAUCACCUCAACAUUACCCUGUGGUCUCCUCCCAUUAGGUUGUGUAUAUCACCUCAACAUUACCCUGUGGUCUCCUCCCAUUAGGUUGUAUAUAUACCCUCAACAUUACCCUGUGGUCUCCUCCCAUUAGGCUGUGUAUAUCACCUCAACAUGACCCUGUGGUCUCCUCCCAUUAGGCUGUGUAUAUCACCUCAACAUUACCCUGUGGUCUCCUCCAAUUAGGUUGUAUAUAUACCCUCAACAUUACCCUGUGGUC